rnacentral:rRNA from 1 species
GUUGAACGCUGGCGGCAGGCCUAACACAUGCAAGUCGAACGCAGUGGCGGACGGGUGAAUAAGGCCUAGGAAUCUGCCUGACAGUGGGGGCUAAGGUCCGGAAACGGGCGCUAAUAGCGCAUACUAUCAUAUGAGCCUAGGUUGGAUUAGCUAGUUGGUGGGGUAAAGGCCUACCAGGGCGACGAUGCGUAACUGGUCUGAGAGGAUGAUCAGUCACACUGUAACUGAGACACGGGCCAGACUCCUACGUGAGGCAGCAGUGGGGAAUAUUGGACAAUGGGCGAAAGCCUGACCGAGCCAUGCCGCGUGUGUGAAGAAGGUCUUCGGAUUGUAAAGCACUUUAAGUUGGGAGGCGGUACCAACAGAAUAAGCACCGGCUAACUUCGUGCCAGCAGCCGCGGUAAUAC